rnacentral:rRNA from 1 species
UGUUUCGGCAAGGGGGUCAUCCCGACUUACCAACCCGAUGCAAACUGCGAAUACCGGAGAAUGUUAUCACGGGAGACACACGGCGGGUGCUAACGUCCGUCGUGAAGAGGGAAACAACCCAGACCGCCAGCUAAGGUCCCAAAGUCAUGGUUAAGUGGGAAACGAUGUGGGAAGGCCCAGACAGCCAGGAUGUUGGCUUAGAAGCAGCCAUCAUUUAAAGAAAGCGUAAUAGCUCACUGGUCGAGUCGGCCUGCGCGGAAGAUGUAACGGGGCUAAACCAUGCACCGAAGCUGCGGCAGCGACGCUUAUGCGUUGUUGGGUAGGGGAGCGUUCUGUAAGCCUGUGAAGGUGUGCUGUGAGGCAUGCUGGAGGUAUCAGAAGUGCGAAUGCUGACAUAAGUAACGAUAAAGCGGGUGAAAAGCCCGCUCGCCGGAAGACCAAGGGUUCCUGUCCAACGUUAAUCGGGGCAGGGUGAGUCGACCCCUAAGGCGAGGCCGAAAGGCGUAGUCGAUGGGAAACAGGUUAAUAUUCCUGUACUUGGUGUUACUGCGAAGGGGGGACGGAGAAGGCUAUGUUGGCCGGGCGACGGUUGUCCCGGUUUAAGCGUGUAGGCUGGUUUUCCAGGCAAAUCCGGAAAAUCAAGGCUGAGGCGUGAUGACGAGGCACUACGGUGCUGAAGCAACAAAUGCCCUGCUUCCAGGAAAAGCCUCUAAGCAUCAGGUAACAUCAAAUCGUACCCCAAACCGACACAGGUGGUCAGGUAGAGAAUACCAAGGCGCUUGAGAGAACUCGGGUGAAGGAACUAGGCAAAAUGGUGCCGUAACUUCGGGAGAAGGCACGCUGAUAUGUAGGUGAAGUCCCUCGCGGAUGGAGCUGAAAUCAGUCGAAGAUACCAGCUGGCUGCAACUGUUUAUUAAAAACACAGCACUGUGCAAACACGAAAGUGGACGUAUACGGUGUGACGCCUGCCCGGUGCCGGAAGGUUAAUUGAUGGGGUCAGCGCAAGCGAAGCUCUUGAUCGAAGCCCCGGUAAACGGCGGCCGUAACUAUAACGGUCCUAAGGUAGCGAAAUUCCUUGUCGGGUAAGUUCCGACCUGCACGAAUGGCGUAAUGAUGGCCAGGCUGUCUCCACCCGAGACUCAGUGAAAUUGAACUCGCUGUGAAGAUGCAGUGUACCCGCGGCAAGACGGAAAGACCCCGUGAACCUUUACUAUAGCUUGACACUGAACAUUGAGCCUUGAUGUGUAGGAUAGGUGGGAGGCUUAGAAGUGUGGACGCCAGUCUGCAUGGAGCCGACCUUGAAAUACCACCCUUUAAUGUUUGAUGUUCUAACGUUGACCCGUAAUCCGGGUUGCGGACAGUGUCUGGUGGGUAGUUUGACUGGGGCGGUCUCCUCCUAAAGAGUAACGGAGGAGCACGAAGGUUGGCUAAUCCUGGUCGGACAUCAGGAGGUUAGUGCAAUGGCAUAAGCCAGCUUGACUGCGAGCGUGACGGCGCGAGCAGGUGCGAAAGCAGGUCAUAGUGAUCCGGUGGUUCUGAAUGGAAGGGCCAUCGCUCAACGGAUAAAAGGUACUCCGGGGAUAACAGGCUGAUACCGCCCAAGAGUUCAUAUCGACGGCGGUGUUUGGCACCUCGAUGUCGGCUCAUCACAUCCUGGGGCUGAAGUAGGUCCCAAGGGUAUGGCUGUUCGCCAUUUAAAGUGGUACGCGAGCUGGGUUUAGAACGUCGUGAGACAGUUCGGUCCCUAUCUGCCGUGGGCGCUGGAGAACUGAGGGGGGCUGCUCCUAGUACGAGAGGACCGGAGUGGACGCAUCACUGGUGUUCGGGUUGUCAUGCCAAUGGCACUGCCCGGUAGCUAAAUGCGGAAGAGAUAAGUGCUGAAAGCAUCUAAGCACGAAACUUGCCCCGAGAUGAGUUCUCCCUGACCCUUUAAGGGUCCUGAAGGAACGUUGAAGACGACGACGUUGAUAGGCCGGGUGUGUAAGCGCAGCGAUGCGUUGAGCUAACCGGUACUAAUGAACCGUGAGGCUUAACCUUACAAC